AUACGUAGGGUGCAAGCGUUAAUCGGAAUUACUGGGCGUAAAGCGUGCGCAGGCGGUUUUGUAAGACAGAGGUGAAAUCCCCGGGCUCAAACUGGGAACUGCCUUUGUGACUGCAAGGCUAAAGUACGGCAGAGGGGGAUGGAAUUCCGCGUGUAGCAGGGAAAUGCGUAGAUAUGCGGAGGAACACCGAUGGCGAAGGCAAUCCCCUGGGCCUGUACUGACGCUCAUGCACGAAAGCGUGGGGAGCAAACAGGAUUAGAUACCCUGGUAGUCCACGCCCUAAACGAUGUCAACUGGUUGUUGGGUCCUCAUUGACUCAGUAACGAAGCUAACGCGUGAAGUUGACCGCCUGGGGAGUACGGCCGCAAGGUUGAAACUCAAAUGAAUUGGCGGGG
rnacentral:rRNA from 1 species